GACGAACGCUGGCGGCGUGCUUAACACAUGCAAGUCGAACGAUGAAGCUAGAGCUUGCUCUGGUGGAUUAGUGGCGAACGGGUGAGUAACACGUGAGUAACCUGCCCCGAACUCUGGGAUAACUGCUGGAAACGGUAGCUAAUACCGGAUAUGACCAAUGAAGGCAUCUUCUGUUGGUGGAAAGAAUUUCGGUUCGGGAUGGACUCGCGGCCUAUCAGCUUGUUGGUGAGGUAACGGCUCACAAAGGCGACGACGGGUAGCCGGCCUGAGAGGGUGAUCGGCCACACUGGGACUGAGACACGGCCCAGACUCCUACGGGAGGCAGCAGUGGGGAAUAUUGCACAAUGGGCGCAAGCCUGAUGCAGCAACGCCGCGUGAGGGACGACGGCCUUCGGGUUGUAAACCUCUUUUAGUAGUGAAGAAGCGAAAGUGACGGUACCUGCAGAAAAAGCACCGGCUAACUACGUGCCAGCCGCCGCCGUAA
rnacentral:rRNA from 1 species